GCAGCAGAUUUAACUUUCUGCCACCGAAUACAUUAGCAUGGGAUAAUGGAAUAGGACCCUGUCCUCCUAUUUUCAGUUGGUUUUUGAGGACCAGGGUAAUGAUUAAUAGGGAUAGUUGGGGGCAUUAAUAUUUAAUUGUCAGAGGUGAAAUUCUUGGAUUUAUGAAAGAUUAACUUCUGCGAAAGCAUCUGCCAAGGAUGUUUUCAUUAAUCAAGAACGAAAGUUAGGGGAUCGAAGACGAUCAGAUACCGUCGUAGUCUUAACCAUAAACGAUGCCGACCAGCGAUUAGGAGACGUUGAAUACAAAACACCACCAUCAGACGGCGGAGCAUCUUCACGCAAGUGAGGGUGGUUCGUUUCUCUGGUGGCCCGGUGAAUGACUCCCUAGCCCUUUGGUGAGAAAGUCGCGAUUACCGAGAAUCCUACGCCAACUCUCUCGGGGGUGACCGGCCCAGAUACUCGGCUGACCAUCCUCCACCACCGCGACAUGGUCGGCCUCGUGCUGGCUGACGCCUUGGGUGAUUGUACCUACACUCAUGCUCUCGAUCUCGCCGCUGGUGUGCACACGCUCACCGCUUCCAACCACUUCGGCGAGAGAUCGUUCCAGCUCACCAUCGAAGAGGCGGAGACGAACCCGCCGGUGCGUUCCGGUAUCGACUCGGUGGUCGACAACGUUGGCACCCAGCAAGGUGCUCUGGGCAUGUUCGAAACCACGGACGACGCACGCCCCACGCUUUCCGGCUCCGGAACGCCCUUCACCACUGUCACCAUCUACGACAACGGCGCGGCCAUCGGCCAGGCCUUCGUCGGCCAGGACGGUCGCUGGAGCUGGGAACCUGCUGCCGAUCUGAUCAACGGUCAGCACAACUUCCGGGUGGCUGCGCCCGGCGAGCUGCCCAGCGAGGCGUUCACGGUAAACGAACCUGGGCCA
rnacentral:rRNA from 1 species